rnacentral:rRNA from 1 species
GAUGAACGCUGGCGGCGUGCCUAAUACAUGCAAGUCGAGCGAAGCGGGGACGGUUGCGUAACACGUAGAUAACCUCCUAUAACACUGGGAUAACUUCGGGAAACACGAGCUAAACCGGCUACUUAUAGAUGGAUCCGCGCUGCAUUAGCUAGUUGGUGAGGUAACGGCUUACCAAGGCAACGAUGCAUAGCCGACCUGAGAGGGUGAUCGGCCACACUGGAACUGAGACACGGUCCAGACUCCUACGGGAGGCAGCAGUAGGGAAUCUUCCGCAAUGGGCGAAAGCCUGACGGAGCAACGCCGCGUGAGUGAAGAAGGUUUUCGGAUCGUAAAACUCUGUUAUUAGGGAAGCGGUAUCUAAUCAGAAAGCCACGGCUAACUACGUGCCAGCAGCCGCGGUAAUAC